rnacentral:rRNA from 1 species
UACGUAGGCAGCAAGCGUUAUCCGGAUUUACUGGGCGUAAAGAGCGCGCAGGCGGCUGGUCAAGUCCGAUGUGAAAGCUCCCGGCUUAACUGGGAAAUUGCAUCGGAAACUGAUCGGCUGGAAGGUGGGAGAGGGUAGCGGAAUUCCCGGUGUAGUGGUGAAAUGCGUAGAUAUCGGGAGGAACACCAGUGGCGAAAGCGGCUACCUGGCCCAUUCUUGACGCUGAGGCGCGAAAGCUAGGGGAGCAAAUGGG